UACGGAGGGUGCGAGCGUUGUCCGGAAUCAUUGGGCGUAAAGGGCGCGUAGGUGGCCCGGUCAGUCUUUGGUGAAAGCGCGGGGCUCAACCCUGCGUCGGCCAGGGAUACUGCCGCGGCUCGAGCACUGUAGAGGCAGGCGGAAUUCCGGGUGGUAGCGGUGGAAUGCGUAGAGAUCCGGAAGAACACCGGUGGCGAAGGCGGCCUGCUGGGCAGUUUAGCUGACACUGAGGCGCGACAGCGUGGGGAGCAACAGG
rnacentral:rRNA from 1 species